AAGCGGAGGAGAGGCAGAGAUCGCAGGAGGUUUCGCGGGUUUCGCGGGCUUCCCUUCGGAUUCUUUCCCCCCCCCCCCGCGCGAAGCCGGAGCGAACCGGGGUUGGUGGGUGGGGGGAGAAGGGAGAGAAAGCGGGAAGAUCUGAGGGAGCGAGGAAGAGCGAAUUAUAGAGGAAGUUGGCAGGAUAAUCGCUUGGGGUUGCAGAGUGGCCACGGACUUUAAUGAUAAGCUGGAGAAAACAUUUCCUUCUGUUAACUCUCCCAUGAAGUUCCCUGUUAUGGAAGCAAUACUGUGCUGCUGAUCUGUGGAUAAUUACUCCAGCGUGAGAUCUUCCUCUAUACCAGCAGUUCUCGAAGUGUGAUCUCAGGAUCCCUGAAUAUCCCCGAGACCAUUUCAAGGGAUGCGCAA